GAUGAACGCUGGCGGCGUGCCUAAUACAUGCAAGUCGAGCGAACAGACGAGGAGCUUGCUCCUCUGACGUUAGCGGCGGACGGGUGAGUAACACGUGGAUAACCUACCUAUAAGACUGGGAUAACUUCGGGAAACCGGAGCUAAUACCGGAUAAUAUAUUGAACCGCAUGGUUCAAUGGUGAAAGACGGUUUUGCUGUCACUUAUAGAUGGAUCCGCGCCGCAUUAGCUAGUUGGUAAGGUAACGGCUUACCAAGGCAACGAUGCGUAGCCGACCUGAGAGGGUGAUCGGCCACACUGGAACUGAGACACGGUCCAGACUCCUACGGGAGGCAGCAGUAGGGAAUCUUCCGCAAUGGGCGAAAGCCUGACGGAGCAACGCCGCGUGAGUGAUGAAGGUCUUCGGAUCGUAAAACUCUGUUAUUAGGGAAGAACAAAUGUGUAAGUAACUGUGCACGUCUUGACGGUACCUAAUCAGAAAGCCACGGCUAACUACGUG
rnacentral:rRNA from 1 species